GCACGAAGCGGCGAUGGGGUUCGCCUGAAACCGCCCCGCCGGAUGCGAGGCUGAUGACCCCUACCGGAAG
rnacentral:ncRNA from 2 species